rnacentral:rRNA from 1 species
CUUGCCGGGCUUGCUUACACAUGCGAGUCGAGCGGUGAAGCAGAGCUUGCUCUGUGGAUCAGUGGCGAACGGGUGAGUAACACGUGAGCAACCUGCCCCUGACUCUGGGAUAAGCGCUGGAAACGGCGUCUAAUACUGGAUAUGAGCUGCGAUCGCAUGGUCAGCAGUUGGAAAGAUUUUUCGGUCUGGGAUGGGCUCACGGCCUAUCAGCUUGUUGGUGAGGUAAUGGCUCACCAAGGCGUCGACGGGUAGCCGGCCUGAGAGGGUGACCGGCCACACUGGGACUGAGACACGGCCCAGACUCCUACGGGAGGCAGCAGUGGGGAAUAUUGCACAAUGGGCGAAAGCCUGAUGCAGCAACGCCGCGUGAGGGAUGACGGCCUUCGGGUUGUAAACCUCUUUUAGCAGGGAAGAAGCGAAAGUGACGGUACCUGCAGAAAAAGCGCCGGCUAACUACGUGCCAGCAGCCGCGGUAAUACGUAGGGCGCAAGCGUUAUCCGGAAUUAUUGGGCGUAAAGAGCUCGUAGGCGGUUUGUCGCGUCUGCUGUGAAAUCCCGAGGCUCAACCUCGGGUCUGCAGUGGGUACGGGCAGACUAGAGUGCGGUAGGGGAGAUUGGAAUUCCUGGUGUAGCGGUGGAAUGCGCAGAUAUCAGGAGGAACACCGAUGGCGAAGGCAGAUCUCUGGGCCGUUACUGACGCUGAGGAGCGAAAGGGUGGGGAGCAAACAGGCUUAGAUACCCUGGUAGUCCACCCCGUAAACGUUGGGAACUAGUUGUGGGGUCCAUUCCACGGAUUCCGUGACGCAGCUAACGCAUUAAGUUCCCCGCCUGGGGAGUACGGCCGCAAGGCUAAAACUCAAAGGAAUUGACGGGGACCCGCACAAGCGGCGGAGCAUGCGGAUUAAUUCGAUGCAACGCGAAGAACCUUACCAAGGCUUGACAUAUACGAGAACGGGCCAGAAAUGGUCAACUCUUUGGACACUCGUAAACAGGUGGUGCAU